rnacentral:tRNA from 1 species
GGCAAGAUGGCCGAGCGGUCUAAGGCGCAACGUUAAGGUUUCCUUAAUUCAUAAGCUUCCAGCUUCCGUUGUCUUCGGGCGUGGGUUCGAAUCCCACUCUUGUCA